AGUGAACGCUGGCGGUAGGCCUAACACAUGCAAGUCGAACGGCAGCACAGUAAGAGCUUGCUCUUACGGGUGGCGAGUGGCGGACGGGUGAGGAAUACAUCGGAAUCUACUUUUUCGUGGGGAUAACGUAGGGAGACUUACGCUAAUACCGCAUACGACCUACGGGUGAAAGCAGGGGAUCUUCGGACCUUGCGCGAUUGAAUGAGCCGAUGUCGGAUUAGCUAGUUGGCGGGGUAAAGGCCCACCAAGGCGACGAUCCGUAGCUGGUCUGAGAGGAUGAUCAGCCACACUGGAACUGAGACACGGUCCAGACUCCUACGGGAGGCAGCAGUGGGGAAUAUUGGACAAUGGGCGCAAGCCUGAUCCAGCCAUACCGCGUGGGUGAAGAAGGCCUUCGGGUUGUAAAGCCCUUUUGUUGGGAAAGAAAAGCAGCAGGUUAAUACCCCGCUGUUCUGACGGUACCCAAAGAAUAAGCACCGGCUAACUUCGUG
rnacentral:rRNA from 1 species